rnacentral:rRNA from 1 species
GACGAACGCUGGCGGCGUGCCUAACACAUGCAAGUCGAACGGGGUCCAACCAGUAGCAAUACUGGGGAAGACCUAGUGGCGAACGGGUGAGUAACACGUGAGGAACCUGCCCCGAAGACCGGGACAAGCCGGGGAAACCUGGUCUAAUACCGGAUGUCUUCACCAGACCGCAUGAUCUGGUGAAGAAAUGGAUUCCGCUUCGGGAGGGCCUCGCGGCCUAUCAGCUAGUUGGUGGGGUAACGGCCCACCAAGGCUUCGACGGGUAGCUGGUCUGAGAGGACGAUCAGCCACACUGGGACUGAGACACGGCCCAGACUCCUACGGGAGGCAGCAGUGGGGAAUCUUGCGCAAUGGGCGAAAGCCUGACGCAGCAACGCCGCGUGGGGGAUGAAGGCUCUCGGGUUGUAAACCCCUUUCAGCAGGGACGAUUAUGACGGUACCUGCAGAAGAAGGCCCGGCCAACUACGUGCCAGCCGCCGCCGUAA